UAAAUAAAUUGCAUAUAAAACUGGUCAGUUAUAGUCUUACAGAUACAGUAUAAAGUAGCCCACAAGCUGCUACAACUAUAAGGUUUUUAAAUUUCAUGUAUCAAAUGAUCAAAUUUAUUAACCAUAUGGUCAUAGAGCAGGAAAAAUAUAUUAAAUAUUAAUGAUUUGCAUAAAAGUGCGUUUCGGUCAUUAGGUCAUUUAUAUAACAGUUAAUCCUUGUGUUCAUAAAAUGAAGGUAUGCAUAUUAUUCAUGACACUGUCACUCAGGACAGUAGAAACAUUUUCGUAUACAGUAAACAAAGUAUUAUACAACAUUCAAAGGCUAUUUUUAUAGCAAGAAACUGGCAUAAUAAAGUAACAGGAUUUUUGUUUGGCCAUGUCAUAGUAUAUGAAAGCCCCAUUUACAGUUAUUAUAGAUCUUGUUUGCUGUGAAUUUUAUUAUAAUUACUAUCUUAACAAUACUUGUAUAAAUUAAGUCAACUUACUGUAUAUAUAAUCAGAUAUUUUAUGUUCU
rnacentral:lncRNA from 1 species